UACCCGGUGUUUUUAAACACCACCACACAGUCGUGAUCGCGUGUACU
rfam:Volvox carteri f. nagariensis unplaced genomic scaffold VOLCAscaffold_51, whole genome shotgun sequence.